AGUCGGCUAAACGCUGAAAGCGUUUGACGAGUCCUUGCUAUCGCCCGAUUUCUCAUUCAUAUUCAAUGGCCUCACAACACAGCGAAGUGAUGAAGUUCCAUUAAAUUGUCUCUAAUUUCAAAGAGUUCAUUGAUCGGAUGAAGUUCAGUUAUGUCAAUCCCAUUUGCUAUGACCAAUAUACGAUGUAAUUGUCAAAUUUAUGACUUGUAAUUGUGCAAUACUCGAAUAAAGCCAUGCAUUUUCUUCCGCGGUAACUCAUUAUGCAUAAACACGCAUAACGAUUCUGCGGGAUUUGGUAAUACAUUUGCGCAUAUGAUUAUGGUGACUAAUUUUAUGCCCUUUUGUCGGGUACUUCUGAAAGCAUUGGAAUGUCUCUUACCAAAGAGUUUACCACAUCGAUGAAAUUCAUUUUAAAUGACCCGAAAAAGAUAUGUGCAGUACGUUAAUUCUUCCGCGAGACUUCGCGGAUGAAUCCUAAUUACAUUCUGGACACUUGUCGGCGAACACGCGUGACCUGUUUAUAACAACGCUUCUACGACUUUGCGUGGGUUGAAUUUUGCAGUCAGUAAGCGGAUAAAUUAUUUGGAGAAGAAGCUCUUACUGCUUUCGCAGAAGCGGUGGUUCCAACACUGCGGCGUUGGAGGAUUCGUCGCAGAAGCAGUGGAGAAAUAUGGCCAGCUGACUACAUUUAUGCUGUCAUUGAAGGCAUUAGACUUCACAGCGAAAAUAACAAGCACCAGUUUGAACACCGAUAUUACAGCGGCAUGCCAAUAGUCACUCCGAGAAACUGUCUAAAGACUAGCCAUUGCAGAUAAAAGGCACAGCCACGAGUUCAGCCGUGAUGUAAUAUAAUAAUGUAACACAGGAUAUGAUGAUGAUAAGAGUGGAAAAGGUCUCUUCGUAUAAGAAGAGCAAACAUGAAAAUAUGUUCUCCUUUCACCUUCAUACUACAAAGAGACAUAAACCUUGGUCAAUAAACGACCUUUAUCGAUUAUGGUGCCAAUACUUCAAAGGUCAAGGUCGUAAGGGCUUUGAGUUUUUAAAGUGGUUUCUCCUCAAUAACCUUAGACUCAUUUUGACGUAGAACCCUCAAACUAGUUUCACUUGAAAUUUUCUUAAAAUAAUAUUGUCAAAGCUAUUUUUAUUGUUCUAAAUGCAUUGUUCUGAAAGGUAAUUAGCUCACCACUUUCUUCAUACAAAACAAAAUGGGCACCAUAUGCACUGAGCAAUUUGUUUUAGAAGAACAGUGCCAUGUGUUAUCUUGCACACUUCAUUUGCAAGAUAUAUGUCAUUUCUAUGCAAACAGUUCGUUAUCAUUAUUAUGUGAUCAACUUCCCCGUUAACCAAAAUAGUAUAUUUGUUGUCAAGGUCAACUUCCAACUAUAACAAACGAUCGGGAACUGACUUGAAGAUCAUUCCGAUUUUUUCAUGUAUUCAAACUGUUGAAUGUAAAAUGUUUAUGACUUUUGGUUUUAACAUAUUUAUUCCCAACAAUAUACUUAACUAUAUUUAUAUACUAACAUUACAAGUACAGUUGAUGGAAAGGAUAAGAAAGAAAGACAAAUCUUAUAGAGUUCUUUUACUUUCUUAUCAUGAUCUUUGCUAUUUUAUGAAUUUGUGUUUAAGUUUCAAGUUUGUUUCAUAAAUAUUACAAUGUACAUGACUAUUUGUUCUUUAUCAAAGUAAAAGAUGGCUUUUACAAUAUUGCUUGUCAAAUAAUGUUUGGUAAAAUAAAUAUGUCACAACAGAACCUAUUUCAGUAUCAAUGCAAUGCCCCAUCUUAUGCGAACUCUAAUGUACACUCAUCACAUUUAUGCAGUAAUUAGCUACUUCUUAUAAUGUCAAUAAGUAUUUGUCUGUUUGCUUUUCUCUUUCCUCUUAAUUUAGCGUCAGAAAUGCGGACCCUGUUAUGCAAGCAGUUGUAUAAUUGUAAAAUCAUUGGAAGAGUUAUAAGCCUGCUCUUCAAAACAACUUGCAGUCUUCACUAUACCUCAUAUUAACCAAGUUGUCGAUGAAAACAUUUUGCGACGUCAAAAAAUAUAGGCAACUAUAAAAUCACUUAAAGAAAACGUUUCUUGGCAAACAAACUAA